rnacentral:lncRNA from 1 species
CGGCCGCCGCCACCCGCCGCCGCACCGGGGGGAUUUCCGACCGCCGAUCGAGGUAAAUUUCAUACCCCCAACUCGUUUUUCCACGCUGAUUUCCCCAGUGGCCAAAUCGGAGCCAAAAUCCCGGCCAAACGACCAGAAAACACGGCCGAAAGCCAGCGGCGCCGCCGCGCCCCUUCUCGAUUUUGCCUCCGAUGAGGCCCUUCCCAGCCUCCGUUUAAUGCAAUUUUUAUAUCACUGUGAUCACCAUUCUUUUUUCUACAGGUUGAUCGGAGCCGAAUCACCAAAACACGAACUUCACCGGAGAGCCGCCACACCCGAGAGCACCGCCGCCGGUAAGCUUCGAUUUUUCCGUAAAUUUUCGGCCCCCCGAGGGCCGUAGGGUUGUUUUAUCGCAGGAACCAAUGCGAG